rnacentral:lncRNA from 1 species
CCCUAUUGCGUGCGUCGUGCCCUUCCGUCUUCAAUAGCAAAUGAAGCGUCUCGCCUUCCGGCGGUUUCCAUCACCCCCUCUACUCUAUAAUACUUUGAAUGCAAUUUAAUGGUAAAACAUAUCCCAUAUUAUCAAUGAGAGAGACAAAGAGAAACGUCAGAGAGAAGAAGAGGGGAAACCUUGCGAGGAUAAAAGGGGUCACCGGUGACAAUUCGGACCACUAUUAGGCGCGAGGGUUGUACUGGUGGAGAGCCUAGGUUAAGGCGAAAAACCACGACGAUUUCGAUCUGAGUUCACAAAUUCACCUUCCGAUCUCUAUCAUGCUGCUUUGUUGAAGAACUCAUCUUUUGAUUCUCAAACAAAAUGUCUGGAAAUGUCUGAUUCCAUUAAGAUGAUUUCUCUGGACGCUGGAAUGUUCAGAUUCAGCCUAGCAACAAGGUUAUGAUGGGAAUACAACCGAUUGGAACAUGCUUUGCGCCAGGAAACGAGAUUAUUCCUGUCAGUGAUGAAUGCGGAUAUUGAGUAGUAUCUAAAACAAUUAUGCAUUGCCAACAGAUGUAGUUGGAUUAGUUGUUGCGGUCGACCCGAUUGGCGGUAUUGUACUUGCGGUUUAUACGACUGUAAACUGGUCUGGAACUGUCAAGGAAAAUGCAGGUUAGGCGGGUUGACCAAUCUCUGAAUAUUGACGAGUCUAAGUGUCUUACACUCUAACCUGAGAUCCCAUUGAUAGCAUGCAACUCAAAUCACUUAUAUAGUUUUUAUACCCUUAAUCAUUUUUUGUGUACUGUUAUGCCAAUUUUUUCUGCAGAUGUGUGGAUUCAGGUUAUGUAUCAACUUCUAGAUUCUGGGUUUAUACGAUUGAUUUUUUUUUUCAUUUUUCAUUGAAGAUCAAUACAAGGUUUGUUCAUGUGAAUGGUGUUCUUUCAACAUUUGCUCAUGGACUACAUGUAAAAUUCAAUCUGUGUGUUGUGCAAUUCUGUUGAUUAUUAAGAUGAGACGAUCUCUUUUUGAAUAAUCUAAUAGAAGAAGAUUC